GUUGGUGUGGCUCAGUUGGUUAGAGCGUUGGUCUCAUAGUAAUUCCCUGUGAUUUGAUCAUAGAUCAGAGUUAUCCAAAGGUCGAGAGUUCGAGCCUCUCCACCGACA